UCGGCAAUGGGCGCAGGCCUGACCGAGCGACGCCGCGUGUGGGAUGAAGGCCUUCGGGUUGUAAACCACUGUCAACGGGGAGGAAAUGCAGGGGGGUUAUCCCCUCUGUUUGACCUAUCUGUGAAGGAAGUACGGGCUAAGUUCGUGCCAGCAGCCGCGGUAAGACGAACCGUACGAACGUUAUUCGGAAUUACUGGGCUUAAAGGGUGCGUAGGCUGCGCGAAAAGUUGGGUGUGAAAGCCCUCGGCUCAACCGAGGAAUUGCAUUCAAAACUAUCGUGCUCGAGGGAGACAGAGGUAAGCGGAACUCAAGGUGGAGCGGUGAAAUGCGUUGAUAUCUUGAGGAACACCGGUGGCGAAGGCGGCUUACUGGGUCUUUUCUGACGCUGAGGCACGAAAGCCAAGGUAGCAAACGGGAUUAGAUACCCCGGUAGUCUUGGCUGUAAACGAUGAGCACUUGAUUGAAGGGUCCUCCAUAGCCUUUCAGUCGUAGCGAAAGUGUUAAGUGCUCCGCCUGGGGAGUAUGGUCGCAAGGCUGAAACUCAAAGAA
rnacentral:rRNA from 1 species